AUAAAAUUAGUAAUGAAUUUAUUAUAAUUAAUUGUGAAAGGGGGCUUUCAUUUAAUUAUAAAAGAGAAAUUAAUUUUAUACCUUUUGUAUCAGGGAUGUUUAAAUUAUGUUAAGUAGUUAAUUUUCUCGAAAAAAAAAGAUUUAAAAUGUAAGUUAUACAUACUUUUUAAUUAUUAUUAUUAUACUUUAUUUUGGUGCUGAGAUAGUAUUCAAUUUUUUUUAUCUAGUUUCUUUUAAUUUAAUUUAAUUAAUUUAAAUUUUUGGUUGUUAAAGUUUAAAAAUCGUUUUAAGGAUAAUCUUGAAUUUUUAUAAAUAGUUAUGUUUAAUAUGUUUUGAAAUUUAGUAUUAAUAUUGUAAUUGUUUGUUAUGUUGUAAUAAAUCAAAAUUUAAUUAAUUUUUUAUUAUUUAGCUUUGGGGGAAGCUAAAGAUUAAUAAUUAAUUUAAUUAAUUAUUAUAAUUAUGAUUGUAUUAGUAGAAUUUAUUAUAUUAGUUGAUAAGAAUUCGGCAAUUUAAAAUUUCGACUGUUUAUCAAAAACAUUUUUACAAGAAAAAUAUUUGUGGUAAUACCUGCUCAAUGCUUAAUAAGUAAAUAGCUGCAGUAUAUUAACUGUACAAAGGUAGCAUAAUCAUUAGUUUUUUAAUUGAAAGCUUGAAUGAAUGGUUUAACGAAAGUUUGACUUUUUUUUAACUAAAAGUUGAAUUUAGGUUUUAAGUUAAAAAACUUAAAUUUUAAAAAGGGACGAGAAGACCCUAGAGAAUUUAAGAAUAAUAGUGAUAAAAUUAUUUUUUAGUUGGGGUGACAUAAAAUUGACUUUUUAAUUAUAAAUUCAUUUUAAAUGGUGUUUAAGAUCCUAAAGUUUAGAUAAUUAGUUUAAAUUACCUUAGGGAUAACAGCAUAAUUUUUUUUAAAAGAUCUUAUUAAUAAAAAAGAUUAUGACCUCGAUGUUGAAUUAAGAUAAUAUUUUGGUGUAGAUUUUAAAAUAUUUAGUCUGUUCGACUUUGAAUUUUACAUGAUUUGAGUUCAGACCGGCGUGAGCCAGGUUGGUUUCUAUCUUUUUUUAUUAAAAUUGUUUUAGUACGAAAGGAUUAAACAGUUAAGUUAUUAAUUUUUAAGUUGAAUGUAAUUAAU
rnacentral:rRNA from 1 species